UGGAAGUGAGGCCGCCAAGACCUGAACUGGCACUCUGAGAUCGAAUGUCCCCAUGAGGUUAGCCUGCUGCCACAACACCAGCCACUAUUUUCUUUACACUUUCAUGAUUAGAGAAAAAUAUGCCCUGUCUACAAGAGCUUAUUCACAGCCAACCUAAGUCUUACAGAAAUGGGCUAUUCUAGUUGCCUUUUGGAAUCAUAUCUUUGAUUUAGUAUGCACUUUAUUGUAUCCGUUAUGUACACUAACAAUUAAUGCAUCCUAAUCUUACUCAAACUAUGGUUUGAAGAUUUAUUCUAAGUUAUCUUUCAGAGGCCUUUAAUUGUCUAAUAGGAAUACUGAUGGACAUUGAUUGGAUGAAUUUAAAAUGACUUAAGAUGAUCCGAGGUAGUCAUCCUUGGAAAAGGGAAUCCAUUUGAGUUGUAAGAAUUCAUGCAUUUACUUUCUGGUGGGUUUUUGGUUGUGUAUAAAACUUACUGCCACUGUGUUACAAAUGAGAAGCAAGGAAACUCAUUGAUGGCUUCCUGAGAGUAGAUCUUGACCUAGCUGUUCUUUAAAGUGAUGUCAUGAACUUUCAGAUUUUCCUCUGCUUAGGUUCCCUGACAGACCACUUAAAUGGGAACAUGUGAAAGGGUCCUGGGUGUGGAGUGAUUGUAAUUCCUCCCCAAGUAUCUUAAAAGGUGCAUCACUAACCUCUUUCAAAGAAUUAAGAUAAUUGUUUCAUGUCCCCUCUGUAAUAUUUCUCAAAACUGCUGAAGAGAUCAGGAGUUUCAGGAUCUAGAAAUUGACAUCAUGAAACUUAGAAGAAAUCCUGUUGCACAGAUGAACCGUUGCUGGCCAAGGAGCUCCUGGCAGUUACAGGCACUCUGAAUGGCUUCAAGGGCUGCGGAGGCUGAUAUGAGAAAGAAUUCUAGGAAUAGUUGAGAAGACAGGAGACCAUGGCAAGUGCUUUAGCAAAAGGUGGAACAACCGGUGAGGCCAGGGAAGAAGUCUUGAAGAAAAUGUGUUUGAGAACUAACUACUACCCUGUGAAGGGAGGAAGGAUGCAAGGUGCCAAAAGGCUGCAGGAACGCUCAGCUAACCUAUGGGACAAAAAGUGUGUCAGGGUUACAGAGCACCAUGCCACAGGAGUCCUCAUCACCACAGCUAGCCUGAACAGGGCAGCAACAAAGCAGACAUGGAAGAGCAAGGACAAGAGACCCAAAGUCAACAGUGGCCUCUGUAGCACUCCCCCAUGCAGCUGCUCAGGCAGCCCUAAACCUCCAGACCACAAAGAGAACAGGGCUGCUACCCAAGGUAAAUAAACCCUGAUUCAGUCACCCAACAAGAAUAGAUGAAUAUGAAAUUCAUCCAAGAGAAAAGAACGCAAGAUUGGAGCUGAAAUCCCAAUGAGGGUUGCUCAUGUAUUUAUUUAUUUAAUUUUUGCCAUUUAACCAGAUUAUUUACGUAAAGAUGUCCCUUAUUUUGGUUGUGAGAAAUGUAAUUUUUUCCUCAGUACACCUUUUGGAGUUUAUUAUUUUCUAUCCAAGUUGAAGUUUUCAAGAAAUCAAAUUUGUCAGCUUCAUCUGUCAACUUACAGCUUGUUUCCAGAAAAUCAACAAGUUAAAAAACACCUAGUGACUCCCAUAAAAGGAAAAGCUAGUUUCACCUGCUAAUGAGGGGAAAGCACCCAACAAGAAGUUGCCUCACAUAAUCAACCCAGAAAAAAAAGUUGAAGAUGAUGUCAGAGAGAUAAAAAGGCAUUACAGCUCCCUGCCUCAGAAGAACAAGAGAUUCAGUGUGCUGUAUUGAGAAGGAAAGUUUACAAUUUCACAAGAACUGUCAACAGAAGAAGAUCUAAAGAAAGCAAAUGCAGAAAGCAAAGUGAACAACUAACAGUCAAACAAGUCCAACAGGAAAUGCUCUGCAACUUUCUAGAAACUGAUGAAAUCUGUAAACUACCUGCAAGACUAGGUGGACAAAGGUCCUAAUAAAGUUUUUAAAUUUCCCAAAACUGGUUGGAGGAAUUACUUUAGGAACCCCAGAUGAUUUAUUCACAGGACACAGCAAGCAAAUCUCUGCAUGAGAGUGGUGCGUGAAGGGGAGAGAGGCUAAAAGACAGUAGGAAUGUCUAGGGGACUAGCACUUGGGUGUAGCAGGUCAAGCAGGUGCCUGUGAUGCCAGCAUCCCCCAUGGCUCGUCCCAGUCACACCACCUGCAGUGUGUAUGGUAGGGCAGGAAAGGAUGAAGCAGGUGCCUGGCCAACUGCUACUCCUAUAGGAGACUUGGUUGAAGCUCCUAACUCCUACUUCAUACUUGACCCAGCUUUAGCCCUUGUUGCCAUCUGAGGAGUGAACCAGCUGAUGAAGAUCCUUGUCCCUCCCUCUCCCUGCAGCUCUGCCUUUUAAAUACAUU